rnacentral:rRNA from 1 species
CCUGCCUGCCCAGUGACAUCUGUUCAACGGCCGCGGUAUUAUGACCGUGCAAAGGUAGCGUAAUCACUUGUCUUUUAAAUAAAGACCGGUAUGAAUGGCAAAACGAAAACUCAACUGUCUCCUCAGACAAGUCAGUGAAAUUGAUUUCCCCGUGAAGAAGCAGGGAUAAUAAUAUAAGACGAGAAGACCCUAUGGAGCUUUAAACCGAAACUACCCAUACUCUUAAAACUUUAAAAAAUGGGACUAGCUACAGGUUUUGGGUUGGGGCGACCGCGGAGUAAAAAUUAACCUCCGAGAAAAAAUUAAGAAGAACACUUCAAAAAAUAAUAAUGUUAAUACAUUUGACCCAACAAUUGAUCAACGAACCAAGUUACCCUAGGGAUAACAGCGCAAUCCUCUCAGAGAGUCCCUAUCGACGAGAGGGUUUACGACCUCGAUGUUGGAUCAGGACCCCCAAAUGGUGCAAAAGCUAUUAAAGG